rnacentral:rRNA from 1 species
GAUGAACGCUGGCGGCGUGCCUAAUACAUGCCAGUCGAGCGAACGGACGAGAAGCUUGCUUCUCUGAUGUUAGCGGCGGACGGGUGAGUAUCACGUGGAUAACCUACCUAUAAGACUGGGAUAACUUCGGGAAACCGGAGCUAAUACCGGAUAAUAUUUUGAACCGCAUGGUUCAAAAGUGAAAGACGGUCUUGCUGUCACUUAUAGAUGGAUCCGCGCUGCAUUAGCUAGUUGGUAAGGUAACGGCUUACCAAGGCAACGAUGCAUAGCCGACCUGAGAGGGUGAUCGGCCACACUGGAACUGAGACACGGUCCAGACGCCUACGGGAGGCAGCAGUAGGGAAUCUUCCGCAAUGGGCGAAAGCCUGACGGAGCAACGCCGCGUGAGUGAUGAAGGUCUUCGGAUCGUAAAACUCUGUUAUUAGGGAAGAACAUAUGUGUAAGUAACUGUGCACAUCUUGACGGUACCUAAUCAGAAAGCCACGGCUAACUACGUG